rnacentral:rRNA from 1 species
GAUGAACGCUAGCUACAGGCUUAACACAUGCAAGUCGAGGGGAAACGACAGAGGAAGCUUGCUUCCUUUGGGCGUCGACCGGCGCACGGGUGAGUAACGCGUAUCCAACCUUCCCGCAAGUAAGGGAUAACCCGUAGAAAUGCGGCCUAAUACCUUAUGUUUUCCUUAGAGGGCAUCUGAUGAGGAACAAAGAUCCGUCGCUUGCGGAUGGGGAUGCGUCUGAUUAGUUAGUCGGCGGGGUAACGGCCCACCGAGACGACGAUCAGUAGGGGUUCUGAGAGGAAAGUCCCCCACAUUGGAACUGAGACACGGUCCAAACUCCUACGGGAGGCAGCAGUGAGGAAUAUUGGUCAAUGGGCGGAAGCCUGAACCAGCCAAGUAGCGUGCGAGGACGACGGCCCUAUGGGUUGUAAACUGCUUUAUGCGGGGAUAAAGU